rnacentral:tRNA from 1 species
UUAGGGAGACCUACCCCAUGCGCACGGCGAAAGCAGUUACUCAUGAGGUCAUCCCAAGGUCGGUCGAAACUCUGUGCUGCUUUCAAACUAUAAUUGAGGUUGGGAAACGAGGGCUAUUAGCUCAGGUGGUUAGAGCGCACCCCUGAUAAGGGUGAGGUCCCUGGUUCGAGUCCAGGAUGGCCCACCUAGAAGAGUGUGGGGGUAUAGCUCAGUUGGUAGAGCGCUGCCUUUGCAAGGCAGAUGUCAGCGGUUCGAGUCCGCUUACCUCCACGUCAAAAGUUAAAUAAUUCAGCACCGGUUUCAGGUGAAGACAGGAUGCUGGGAUUAUGCCCAGUCAGGACCAUGAAAACUGCAUAAGAAAGCGAAGAAAACCAGGAAGGUAGAGUCUUUUACAGACAAAACUAGAUCCAAAAGAAGU